rnacentral:lncRNA from 1 species
GGCAGGACGGUGACUGAAGGGCAGGGGGUGUUUCUCCUUGCUCUGAGGUGCGUCCCAAGGACGCUGCUUCCCUCCCUCCUUCCUUCCCGGUUGCUCUCCCGAGGGAGAGCUUUCCCCUGCAGCAGGGUUCGCUGUGGAGGUGCCUGUUCCUGGCUGGCCGUUGGCGUGCUGGAAGCCCUUUGGCUUUGUGGAGGGGGGCCGUCCUGAGACGGGCAGGUGGGCAGCGGGGAGAUGACUCUGAAGGGGCUGAUGCAGCUCUGUUGUUUUAACUGAAUCUCUUAGGUGGAAAAGAGCCUGGAUGUGGCCCUCGGCUAUGGGCUGUGGAGAAACAUGGAGGAGGCUGGCGCGGGUCCCUCAUCGGGACACGUGCGUCCCCCCGCUGGGACACUGCGCUCUGCAACCCUUGCUGCUGCCACAGGGCACCCGUGCUGCGGGGCAGGUGGAGUCCUGCAGCGGACGUGGAAACGGUUUUCCUUGAGGGAAUGCCUUUUUCUAUGCCAGACAAAUGGCAACGACAGAUGGGACAUAACAGUGUUGGAGGCAUGCAAUGUUGGCAGAAACCAAAAUUACGAAAAUCCACUUUCCAACAACUUGGAGCACAUGGAGUACCACCAACAGGUGUGUCCCAAGGCAAUGAGAGUCUUUGUUGCUGCUCAUCUGAUUAAACUGACCACCAAGACAAUUCUAGUGGAAGAGGUCAUCAAAAAGCUUCUUGCCACCUGGACGGGGAAGGAUGCCAUAACCAGUACCAGAAGGAGAGGACCUUCCAGGAGGCAGUGGAGUGGGAUGAGUGGCUCACCGGUGUCCCUGAAGGAACUAUGUCUUGGAGAGGCAGCCUGGGAGGGCCGGCAGCUUGUCACCUAUUCUGAGCGACUUGUAUGAGAAGUCCAGCAGGUGCAUUUCAGUUGUUUCAGUGGACCCUUGACCAGCUCUACAGGGAACAAGUUGAUCCUCCCUUGUCCUUACUGGGGCAAAACUCCAGCUGAACUCCUGCUUCGUGAGGGACUUCAGGACCCCAUGCCCACAGUAAGGUUAUGGGAAACCUAUUAGCAGUUGUACAACAAUACUCUUGUCUGCUGGCUUUGAUCUCUGGUAUAUUAAAUUAGCAGCCAGGAUGACAUAGUAAUGAUUAGUCUUGAGGGACAGGUUGGCAGACACAGUAAAACAGAAAAGGAAACCUCUGGGAUGGCUUCUGCAUGCUCACUCCAACAGCUAUGCUGUCUUCUCCUCACUCUGUCUCCAUAAUGUUGGGUGUAUUUACACUGUAAGCUAGCGGUGACGCAUGUUUCAGUGCUGUGACAUCCCUGAGCUGCUGCAGUGACGCUCAGGAGCUCCGCUUUUGGAGCCUAGCCACUGCGGUGUGGAGCUCAGCACCCUUCGGCUGUGGUGGAGGCACAAACCUCCUGUGCGUUUCUUUGGGCUGCCAGGCAACGUGGGGAAGAUGCUGCCUUUCUGCAGCCUGGCUUAGAUACCCCCGUGCUGUUCCCAGCCAUGCUGGAGGUGUCUGGGAAGAGGGCCAAAAGUGCUAGCACCUUGUAAUUAAUACCUGGUUUGGCUAUAACCUUCUUGUCUAACAUUAAUGGCUGCAUCCGUAUUAAAACACAUCAAUUGCCCAGUUUAAUUAGGGUUUGUGGUUUUGUGGUCUGUAGCGCAGCCCAUACAUUGCCAGGCUCCCCGAGAAGCAGUGGCGAGCUGGCCUCUCUGGUGGGUGAGGAGGAAAGACUGCGGCUGCCCAUCUGCCCUGGGCAGCCUGGACUCUGGGCAGCUGCCUGCUCAGCCUGUGCCUGGAGCCACUCUUGUUGACAAUUAUUUAAUUUCAGACUAGGAAAAAAUAAUAAAAACUUGUGCCUUAUGCCUGCA